UCGCUGAGUGCAGCAAGGCAAUUGUGUGCUUGAAAAACCUGAACUACACUGACAUCAUAGGAUUAGGACUUUUUUUGUUCCAGUACUAAUCUUGAUCUGUAGGUAUGAGGAUGUCUUCAUGAGGAACUCCUGAAGAGGUCUAUCAUUGAGUGCUUUUAAGACAACUGGACUUGAGGAAUCCCUUUUUUAAUUAGUUUAUUUCCUUCUUCACCACCAAGACAUGGUUUUCUGGAUUAUCUUCCCCAUAUCCCUCUCCCUGGUGUCCUUCAUUGGAACAUGGAUUGUAUAUGGCCUAGCGUUAGCUAACACACAUGUGUGCUCUCUCAGUGACUGGGGGAGUGACAACUAUUGCAAAGCAAAUCAUACCACUGGAUGUUGCUUGGUUCCCACUAUAAGCUCAAGUGGAACUAAAUCACCAGAAAACUCACUCUUCACAGCCACGAUCAACGCAGGAUCCUUUCUGUUCCUGCUCUUCUGUAUAUUCCACCAUGCUCAUAUUAUGGAGAGACACAGAUGUCAUUCCAUGCUGAGCAAGUUUGCGCUGGUCUUUGGUGUGGUGGCAGCCUUGGGGGCAUUCACAGCUGGAAACUGUAAUCCGGGUGACCUGGCACUGCCUCACUACUUCGGAGCUGCCAUCAGUUUCAUGUGUAUCUGCUUCUACACUGUGUUGCUCACCUCACUGACCGGCAAGUGUGUGCUGACAGGAUAUGAGAGGUCUCUCUAUCCACUCCGCAUCGUCUCCACUGUGGUUCAAACCAUCGUUACCAUCUGCUAUACUGUUUUGUUUGCCCAGGACCAGUACUUUUACGUUCACUUGUCGGCUAUAUUUGAGUGGAUGCUCAGCGUCAACCUGGAGCUGUUUGAGCUCAGCUUUGCUGUGGAGUUUUGUUUCUUCUCAUCCUUCAUGAUCUCAAAUCUGCUGACCAAACGAGAGGAGGAAAAGCCUUUGAUUAUAUCGAUGUCUUGAUAUGAGGCCCCCACGGUCCAGGUGCAGCACAUAAGCAGGGAGGAUGGACUGGGUAACACAUCUGUGAGGACAUCUGUGGCUGGACCUUGGCUUGGAGAACAGUGAUGUACUUCUUCACUGCUCGGGUGGAUUAAUAGUUAUUUAUGAAUGAGGAGAACUUUUGUUUUUGACCUUUGGAUAUACGGUAGCCUAAACCUUUUUUAAACCAGGCAUAUCUGAUUCUUAUUCCUUAUUUAUUGAAACAAAGUUGAAUAGCAAAUGAACAAAACAUGAUAAAUUCCUUUCAUCAUGUCAUGUUGAUGCUCUGCCAACAGAACAAUUAACUUUGAUGUGUUACACUCUAAGAAUCCUUCUAUGUUUAUUAGUUGUAUUGCGCAAUGACUUGUUAUACUAUUUUAAUAUAAUCAACAAUGAACAAUUCCUCAUUAGUGACACUGAUAAGGACCAGAUAUACUGAAAAUGUCACUGAUGUUAGCUUCCAAUUAUAUUCCUUAAGCACUUGUAUAUAGCUUUGACACUUUAUUAAAUCAUGACCACUGUAUACACUCAUAAAUCCUGUUAUUCUGCUGAUUGUACCUUGAAGUGUGGUACUAGGGUGGAGUGAGAUGAAAAACAACCCGUUCAGGUAUUUUAAGUCCCUGUGGCGUCACUACAUCCUGUUUGACUGCAUGACUAAGGGACAGCCGAAUAAUAGAUCUGUCAGUGUGUUCUGAAAACAAUGACGUCAAAAUCCUCACCAGGUUACUGUUCCAGAAGAAUGUACUAGUUUUAGGCGUGGUGGGCUGAAUCUUUUUUACGUGUAAACUAGAGUAAGGAAUCCUCAAUGCAAUGUACCUUUAAAGAUAAAUGUAUAGGUUACUGACAUGUAUUUUCUCCCGUUUCUGUAGUGAUGGGGUCCUACUUUAAUGCAAUAUUUGUGCCAAAGUUAUAACAAGCUGCUAGGCAUACAGUAACUCACAAGUGUACGUCUUAUUUAAUGUCCACUAAACAAGACAACAUGCUUUCGGGUUUUAAUGCAAAGCACUUGACCUUUACUUGAAAGAAGGUAAUAUACAUCCUGGAAUUACAGAUAAUAAAGAUACAUUAUGAGCAAAAUCAUUUCACAAUGAAUAUCAUCUUUUCUUUGCAUCAACCAAGAGAGGCGUGCGACAUUAUCUACAGUUUUUGUUGGGAAGAAAACAGUGAAAAGCACACCUAAUUCUGUCAGCAUCUUUAUGGUACACUGUAAAAAAUGUCAUCUAUAUGCAGUAGUACACAUUAUUGACCGUAGUAACAAAAAA